GAUGAACGCUGGCGGCGUGCCUAAUACAUGCAAGUCGAGCGAACAGAUGAGAAGCUUGCUUCUCUGAUGUUAGCGGCGGACGGGUGAGUAACACGUGGGUAACCUACCUAUAAGACUGGGAUAACUCCGGGAAACCGGGGCUAAUACCGGAUAAUAUUUUGAACCGCAUGGUUCAAUAGUGAAAGGCGGUUUCGGCUGUCACUUAUAGAUGGACCCGCGCCGUAUUAGCUAGUUGGUAAGGUAACGGCUUACCAAGGCGACGAUACGUAGCCGACCUGAGAGGGUGAUCGGCCACACUGGAACUGAGACACGGUCCAGACUCCUACGGGAGGCAGCAGUAGGGAAUCUUCCGCAAUGGGCGAAAGCCUGACGGAGCAACGCCGCGUGAGUGAUGAAGGUCUUCGGAUCGUAACACUCUGUUGUUAGGGAAGAACAAAUUUGUUAGUAACUGAACAAGUCUUGACGGUACCUAACCAGAAAGCCACGGCUAACUACGUGCCAGCCGCCGCAGUAA
rnacentral:rRNA from 1 species